AGGAUAGAGGCCUACCAUGGUGGUAACGGGUAACGGGGUGUUAGGGCACGACACCGGAGAGGGAGCCUGAGAAACGGCUACCACAUCCAAGGAUGGCAGCAGGCGCGCAAAUUACCCAAUCCCGACACGGGGAGGUAGUGACAAUAAAUAACAAUACGGGGUUCUUUCGGAUCUCGUAAUUGGAAUGAGUACAAUUUAAAUCUCUUAACGAGGAACAAUUGGAGGGCAAGUCUGGUGCCAGCAGCCGCGGUAAUUCCAGCUCCAAUAGCGUAUAUUAAAGUUGUUGCAGUUAAAAAGCUCGUAGUUGAAUUUCGGGGUUAGUAGGUUGGUCAUGCCUCUGGUAUGUACUGGUCUCACUGAUUCCUCCUUCCUUAUGAACCGUAAUGCCAUUAAUUUGGUGUUGCGGGGAAUUUGGACUGUUACUUUGAAAAAAUUAGAGUGUUUAAAGCAAGCUAACGCUUGAAUACAUUAGCAUGGAAUAAUGAAAUAGGACGUUCGAUCUUAUUUUGCUGGUUUCUAGGAUUGACGUAAUGAUUAAUAGGGAUAGUUGGGGGCAUUAGUAUUCAAUUGUCAGAGGUGAAAUUCUUGGAUUUAUUGAAGACUAACUACUGCGAAAGCAUUUGCCAAGGAUGUUUUCAUUAAUCAAGAACGAAAGUUAGGGGAUCGAAGACGAUCAGAUACCGUCGUAGUCUUAACCAUAAACUAUGCCGACUAGGGAUCGGAUGA
rnacentral:rRNA from 1 species